rnacentral:rRNA from 1 species
UGGGGAAUAUUGCACAAUGGGCGCAAGCCUGAUGCAGCGACGCCGCGUGGGGGAUGACGGCCUUCGGGUUGUAAACUCCUUUCGCUAGGGACGAAGCUUUUUGUGACGGUACCUAGAUAAGAAGCACCGGCUAACUACGUGCCAGCAGCCGCGGUAAUACGUAGGGUGCGAGCGUUGUCCGGAAUUACUGGGCGUAAAGGGCUCGUAGGUGGUUUGUCGCGUCGUCUGUGAAAUUCCGGGGCUUAACUCCGGGCGGGCAGGCGAUACGGGCAUAACUUGAGGACUGUAGGGGUAACUGGAAUUCCUGGUGUAGCGGUGAAAUGCGCAGAUAUCAGGAGGAACACCGAUGGCGAAGGCAGGUUACUGGGCAGUUACUGACGCUGAGGAGCGAAAGCAUGGGUAGCAAACAGG